GACGAACGCUGGCGGCGUGCUUAACACAUGCAAGUCGAACGAUGAAGCCGGAGCUUGCUCUGGUGAAUUAGUGGCGAACGGGUGAGUAACACGUGAGUAACCUGCCCUUGACUCUGGGAUAACUGCUAGAAAUGGUAGCUAAUACCGGAUACGACCCUCGGAGGCAUCUUCAGGGGGUGGAAAGAAUUUCGGUCAAGGAUGGACUCGCGGCCUAUCAGCUAGUUGGUGAGGUAAUGGCUCACCAAGGCGACGACGGGUAGCCGGCCUGAGAGGGUGACCGGCAACACUGGGACUGAGACACGGCCCAGACUCGUACGGGAGGCAGCAGUGGGGAAUAUUGCACAAUGGGCGCAAGCCUGAUGCAGCAACGCCGCGGGAGGGAUGACGGCCUUCGGGUUGUAAACCUCUUUUAGUAGGGAAGAGGCGAAAGUGACGGUACCUGCAGAAAAAGCACCGGCUAACUACGUGCCAGCAGCCGCGGUAA
rnacentral:rRNA from 1 species